rnacentral:rRNA from 1 species
AUUGAACGCUGGCGGCAUGCCUUACACAUGCAGGUCGAACGGCAGCACGGGAGCAAUCCUGGUGGCGAGUGGCGAACGGGUGAGUAAUAUAUCGGAACGUGCCCAGUCGUGGGGGAUAACGUAGCGAAAGCUACGCUAAUACCGCAUACGAUCUAUGGAUGAAAGCGGGGGAUCGCAAGACCUCGCGCGAUUGGAGCGGCCGAUAUCAGAUUAGGUAGUUGGUGGGGUAAAAGCCUACCAAGCCUUCGAUCUGUAGCUGGUCUGAGAGGACGACCAGCCACACUGGAACUGAGACACGGUCCAGACUCCUACGGGAGGCAGCAGUGGGGAAUUUUGGACAAUGGGCGCAAGCCUGAUCCAGCAAUGCCGCGUGCAGGAUGAAGGCCUUCGGGUUGUAAACUAGCUUUUGUACGGUAACGAAACGGUUCUACUCUAAUACAGGGGCGUAAUGACGGUACCGUAAGAAUAAGACACCGGCGUAACU